rnacentral:rRNA from 1 species
AGUGAACGCUGGCGGCAGGCCUAACACAUGCAAGUCGAACGGUAGCACAGAGGAGCUUGCUCCUUGGGUGACGAGUGGCGGACGGGUGAGGAAUACAUCGGAGUCUACCCUGUCGUGGGGGAUAACGUAGGGAAACUUACGCUAAUACCGCAUACGAACUGAGGUUGAAAGCAGGGGACCGCAAGGCCUUGCGCGAUUGGAUGAGCCGAUGUCCGAUUAGCCAGUUGGUAAGGUAAAGGCUUACCAAGGCGACGAUCGGUAGAUGGUCUGAGAAGAUGAUCAGCCACACUGGAACUGAGACACGGUCCAGACUCCUACGGGAGGCAGCAGUGGGGAAUAUUGGAGAAUGGGCGCAAGCCUGAUCCAGCCAUGCCGCGUGUGUGAAGAAGGCCUUCGGGUUGUAAAGCACUUUUGUUGGGAAAGAAAAGCGGUCGGUUAAUACCCGGUCGUACUGACGGUACCCAAAGAAUAAGCACCGGCUAACUUCGUGCCAGCCGCCGCAGUAAGAC